UGGCCAUUUGUGCCUCACCAUUUGGAGCCAUGAGCACCAUUGCUCAGAGAGGCUAAAAUAGAAGUGAGAGAUACUUCCACAAAGAGAGAAACACUAGAGAACAUCACCAUGAAGGUGGAGAUAAACUCAUCUUUGGCUACACAAGAUGUCGAUGAAAGAUCAAGCCAUUUCAAAGAUUUUCAAGGAAAAGAAUGGGGGCGUGGUGACACAAGUGCCCACGUUGUUGGAGAAUUUUGGUGGAGGCAGUUGCAGAGUCAGCAGUUUCGCAUGCAAAGAUUGGUGGUUUUGACUACUCUAAUUGACUAAUAAUGUAAAUAAUAAUAUCCUAUAGAAACAUGGAUCAAAUUACUUCAUAAGAAAUAAAUCUUACAUACACACCACCUUUCGAAAA